rnacentral:rRNA from 1 species
GAUUAACGCUAGCGGCAGGCAUAAUACAUGCAAGUUGAACGGGAUUAGGUUUAGCAAUAGACUUAUGAGAGUGGCGCACGGGUGCGUAACACGUAUGCAACCUGCCCCUGACAGGAGGAUAGCCUCUCGAAAGAGAGAUUAAUAUUCCAUAACAUAUAGGUUAAACAUUUAAUUUAUAUCAAAGCUCCGGCGGUCAGGGAUGGGCAUGCGGCUGAUUAGGUAGUUGGUGAGGUAACGGCUCACCAAGCCGACGAUCAGUAGGGGGUCUGAGAGGAUGUCCCCCCACACUGGUACUGAGACACGGACCAGACUCCUACGGGAGGCAGCAGUAGGGAAUAUUGGUCAAUGGGGGCAACCCUGAACCAGCCAUGCCGCGUGCAGGAAGACUGCCCUAUGGGUUGUAAACUGCUUUUGUACGGGAAGAAAUCAAUCUACGUGUAGGUUGUUGACGGUACCGUGAGAAUAAGGAUCGGCUAACUUCGUGCCAGCAGCCGCCGUAAUAC